AUUUUUAUCAUGAGUCAAGAUGAAUAUGCACUGUGGGUCAAAAAGACGUGAAGCUCAAUAAAAUAAACCACACAACAGAAGAGAGAAACCCCUACCAUACACAGCUGACAAAUUGGAAAGUCACACAUCUCUGGCAGGCACUCCUACUUGAUGUCAUUAAUUAAUGAAGAGUAGGACGAGAGUACAAUAAGAAGUAGAGGG
rnacentral:lncRNA from 1 species